GAUGAACGCUGGCGGCGUGCCUAAUACAUGCAAGUCGAGCGAACAGAUGAGGAGCUUGCUCCUCUGACGUUAGCGGCGGACGGGUGAGUAACACGUGGAUAACCUACCUAUAAGACUGGGAUAACUUCGGGAAACCGGAGCUAAUACCGGAUAAUAUAUUGAGCCGCAUGGUUCAAUAGUGAAAGACGGUUUUGCUGUCACUUAUAGAUGGAUCCGCGCCGCAUUAGCUAGUUGGUAAGGUAACGGCUUACCAAGGCGACGAUGCGUAGCCGACCUGAGAGGGUGAUCGGCCACACUGGAACUGAGACACGGUCCAGACUCCUACGGGAGGCAGCAGUAGGGAAUCUUCCGCAAUGGGCGAAAGCUUGACGGAGCAACGCCGCGUGAGUGAUGAAGGUCUUCGGAUCGUAAAACUCUGUUAUUAGGGAAGAACAAAUGUGUAAGUAACUAUGCACGUCUUGACGGUACCUAAUCAGAAAGCCACGGCUAACUACGUG
rnacentral:rRNA from 1 species